GCAGUCGAGCGGACGGAUGGGAGCUUGCUCCCUGAAGUCAGCGGCGGACGGGUGAGUAACACGUGGGCAACCUGCCUGUAAGACUGGGAUAACUUCGGGAAACCGGAGCUAAUACCGGAUAAUGCAUUUCCCCUCAUGGGGAUAUGCUGAAAGAUGGUUUCGGCUAUCACUUACAGAUGGGCCCGCGGCGCAUUAGCUAGUUGGUGAGGUAACGGCUCACCAAGGCAACGAUGCGUAGCCGACCUGAGAGGGUGAUCGGCCACACUGGGACUGAGACACGGCCCAGACUCCUACGGGAGGCAGCAGUAGGGAAUCUUCCGCAAUGGACGAAAGUCUGACGGAGCAACGCCGCGUGAGUGAUGAAGGUUUUCGGAUCGUAAAACUCUGUUGUCAGGGAAGAACAAGUGCCGGAGUAACUGCCGGCACCUUGACGGUACCUGACCAGAAAGCCACGGCUAACUACGUGCCAGCAGCCGCGGUAAUACGUAGGUGGCAAGCGUUGUCCGGAAUUAUUGGGCGUAAAGCGCGCGCAGGCGGUCUCUUAAGUCUGAUGUGAAAGCCCACGGCUCAACCGUGGAGGGUCAUUGGAGA
rnacentral:rRNA from 1 species